UACAGGUGUGGCUCCCUUUUCCAAUGAAGACACAGUGGGAGUACACUAAGAAAGAUCUGCAAGAGACAACCAUUCAACCUUCAAGUGCUCACUGGAUUAUAUGAACCGUCAGAAGACCAGGGGACUUUACAUGGGAUAUCAUAUAACACUUGACUGCUGAGGAAUUCCACAAAUUGAAAAGGAGUAUUCUUGGAGCCAGUUCAAGUCACCAGAGGAAACUAGAACAAACGUUGACACCAAAGCUUCAGAUCAGAGCCUCAAUACUCAGUCUGAGAUCCAACACAUCAAACCAAAAGCCUGUCAAGAGAUUGACAGCCACAGACCCUAUCUGCCUGUGUUUCGUACUCUCAGCCUUCCAUAAUCAGUCAGUCAUAAUGAAUGUGUCUCUGGAAAACCCUUAUGGAGACGUGACCAUCCCUCGGGCCAAGCUACAUUCUGCAGAGGACAGCACGGUCAUCAUCAACCCCAUCGCUCUGGACAGUACCUACAGCAACCGCAAUUACUCCCUUAACCCCUAUGGUGCCUUCAAACCCGGGGGGCAGUCACCAUUCCCCUCAGAAGGUACCAACAAUGGAGAUGGUGGCGCCUCAAACACCACUUGUUAUGAUGGCCAGACCUCCUACACAGUAAAGGAGGACACGGAAGAGGAGUUUGGACGCUGUCGGACCUGCUGCUUUCGCUGCCGACGGAAGUAAACCGGCAACAUAGGCCCAGAUCAGGAAAUAGUCCUACAACUCCCUGGCCACAUAGGAUUCUGGGUAUAUGAACUAAGACAAUCAAGGGACACUGUCUGAAGACACUGUCCAAUCUAGUGUUACCAGCUGGUUUAAAAGCCAAAAGCCGUUACUGGCUAAACAUGUAUAGUUUUUGAAGGAUUCAUCAGUCGUAUCAUUUAAAUUGUAUGCAAUUCCGAAA